rnacentral:rRNA from 1 species
UACGUAGGGUGCAAGCGUUGUCCGGAAUUAUUGGGCGUAAAGAGCUCGUAGGUGGCCUGUCGCGUCGGCUGUGAAAACUCGGGGCUCAACUCCCGAGCUUGCAGUCGAUACGGGCAGGCUAGAGUUCGGCAGGGGAGACUGGAAUUCCUGGUGUAGCGGUGAAAUGCGCAGAUAUCAGGAGGAACACCGGUGGCGAAGGCGGGUCUCUGGGCCGAUACUGACACUGAGGAGCGAAAGCGUGGGGAGCGAACAGG